UUUGUAAGUUUCUAAGGGCACAUGGUGGAUGCCUUGGCAUCGGGAGCCGAAGAAGGACGUGGGAAUCUGCGAUAAGCCUGGUCGAGUCGAUAACCGGACGUUGACGCCAGGAUCUCCGAAUGGGGAAACCCAGCACGCGUUAUGGCGUGUUACCCGUCACUGAAUUCAUAGGUGGCGUGGAGGGAACGCGGGGAAGUGAAACAUCUCAGUACCCGCAGGAAGAGAAAACAACAGUGAUUCCGUGAGUAGUGGCGAGCGAAAGCGGAUGGGGCUAAACCCGUAUCGUGUGAUACCCGGCAGGGGUUGCGGUGCGGGGGUUGUGGGGUCGCCCGUCUAGGAACUGCCGUUUCUAGGGGAUGAGGUGCAGACGUAUAGACGAAGCGGUUUGAAAGCCGUACCGGAGAGGGUGUUAGUCCCGUAGUCGACAUGCGUGCUGCCGUCCUGUGGCGUGUCCCCAAGUAGCACGGGGCUCGAGGAAUCCCGUGUGAAUCUGCCAGGACCACCUGGUAAGCCUAAAUACUACCCGAUGACCGAUAGCGGACAAGUACCGUGAGGGAAAGGUGAAAAGUACCCCGGGAGGGGAGUGAAAUAGUACCUGAAACCAUGUGCUUACAAACCGUCGGAGCCUUGAGGGGUGACGGCGUGCCUUUUGAAGAAUGAGCCUGCGAGUUAGUGCUGUGUCGCAAGGUUAACCCGUGUGGGGAAGCCGUAGCGAAAGCGAGUCUGAAUAGGGCGUUUGAGUGGCACGGUCUAGACCCGAAGCGGAGUGAUCUACCCAUGGCCAGGUUGAAGCGCGUGUAAGAGCGCGUGGAGGACCGAACCCACUUCAGUUGAAAAUGGAGGGGAUGAGCUGUGGGUAGGGGUGAAAGGCCAAUCAAACUCCGUGAUAGCUGGUUCUCCCCGAAAUGCAUUUAGGUGCAGCGUUGCGUGUUUCUUACCGGAGGUAGAGCUACUGGAUGGCUAAUGGGCCCUACAAGGUUACUGACGUCAGCCAAACUCCGAAUGCCGGUAAGUGAGAGCGCAGCAGUGAGACUGUGGGGGAUAAGCUUCAUAGUCGAGAGGGAAACAGCCCAGAACACCGACUAAGGUCCCUAAGCGUGUGCUAAGUGGAAAAGGAUGUGGAGUUGCUUAGACAACCAGGAGGUUGGCUUAGAAGCAGCCACCCUUGAAAGAGUGCGUAAUAGCUCACUGGUCAAGUGAUUCCGCGCCGACAAUGUAGCGGGGCUCAAGCACACCACCGAAGUCGUGUCAUUCAGUUAGAUACCCAAGCCUUCGUGGUUCAGGGGACUGGAUGGGUAGGGGAGCGUCGUGCCGGCAGUGAAGCCGCGGUGUAAACCAGUGGUGGAGCCGGCACGAGUGAGAAUGCAGGCAUGAGUAGCGAAUGACGGGUGAGAAACCCGUCCGCCGAAUGAUCAAGGGUUCCAGGGUCAAGCUAAUCUGCCCUGGGUCAGUCGGGACCUAAGGCGAGGCCGACAGGCGUAGUCGAUGGACAACGGGUUGAUAUUCCCGUACCGGCGAAGAACCGCCCAUACUGAUCUUGCGAUGCUAACCACCCCAAACACACCACCAUGCUCCUUCGGGAGUGUAUCGGUGUGGGCGGCGUGGGACCCGAGCUUGGGAGGUAAGCGUAUUAACAGGUGUGACGCAGGAAGGUAGCCGGGCCAGGCAAUGGAAUUGACCUGGUCUAAGGGUGUAGGGCGUUGCGUAGGCAAAUCCGCGCAACAUACAAGCCUGAGACCUGAUGGGCGCCCACUUAAGUGGGUGAUCCGGUGAUCCUAUGCUGCCAAGAAAAGCAUCGACGCGAGGUUCUAGCCGCCCGUACCCCAAACCGACACAGGUGAUCUGGUAGAGAAUACCGAGGCGAUCGAGAGAACCAUGGUUAAGGAACUCGGCAAAAUGCCCCCGUAACUUCGGGAGAAGGGGGGCCCCAACCGUGAAACCCACUUGCUGGGUGGAGGCGGAUCGGGGCCGCAGAGACCAGGGGGAAGCGACUGUUUACUAAAAACACAGGUCCGUGCGAAGUCGCAAGACGAUGUAUACGGACUGACUCCUGCCCGGUGCUGGAAGGUUAAGAGGACCUGUUAGCUCUUUGGAGCGAAGCGGAGAAUUUAAGCCCCAGUAAACGGCGGUGGUAACUAUAACCAUCCUAAGGUAGCGAAAUUCCUUGUCGGGUAAGUUCCGACCUGCACGAAUGGAGUAACGACUUCCCUACUGUCUCAACCAUGGACUCGGCGAAAUUGCAGUACGAGUAAAGAUGCUCGUUACGCGCAGAAGGACGGAAAGACCCCGUGACCUUUACUAUAGUUUGGUAUUGGUGUUCGGUGCAGCUUGUGUAGGAUAGGUGGGAGACUUUGAAGCGGACACGCCAGUGUUCGUGGAGUCAUCGUUGAAAUACCACUCUGGCUGUAUCGGACUCCUAACCUCGGCCCGUGAUCCGGGUCAGGGACAGUGCCUGAUGGGUAGUUUAACUGGGGCGGUUGCCUCCCAAAAAGUAACGGAGGCGCCCAAAGGUUCCCUCAGCCUGGUUGGCAAUCAGGUGGCGAGUGUAAGUGCACAAGGGAGCUUGACUGCGAGAGUGACAGCUCGAGCAGGGACGAAAGUCGGGACUAGUGAUCCGGCGGCACGUUGUGGAACGGCCGUCGCUCAACGGAUAAAAGGUACCUCGGGGAUAACAGGCUGAUCUUGCCCAAGAGUCCAUAUCGACGGCAUGGUUUGGCACCUCGAUGUCGGCUCGUCGCAUCCUGGGGCUGGAGUUGGUCCCAAGGGUUGGGCUGUUCGCCCAUUAAAGCGGCACGCGAGCUGGGUUUAGAACGUCGUGAGACAGUUCGGUCCCUAUCCUCUGCGCGCGUAGGAAAUUUGAGAAGGGCUGUCCUUAGUACGAGAGGACCGGGACGGACGAACCUCUGGUGUGUCAGUUGUACUGCCAAGUGCACCGCUGAUUAGCUACGUUCGGAUGGGAUAACCGCUGAAAGCAUCUAAGCGGGAAGCUCGCUUCAAGAUAAGAUUUCCAUGAACAUUUAUGUUCGAGAGGCCCCCAGCUAGACCACUGGGUUGAUAGGCAGGAUGUGGAAGCGAGAACUAAAGACUCGUGAAGCUGACCUGUACUAAUAGGCCGACAACUUACAACACA
rnacentral:rRNA from 2 species